GACGAACCGUGCGAACGUUGUUCGGAUUCACUGGGCUUAAAGGGCGCGUAGGCGGCUUGCCAAGUCAGGGGUGAAAUCUUUCGGCUCAACCGGAAAAGUGCUUCUGAUACUGGCAGGCUGGAGGGAGGUAGGGGCAGAUGGAACUUCCGGUGGAGCGGUGAAAUGCGUAGAUAUCGGAAGGAACACCAGUGGCGAAAGCGGCUUCCUGGUCCAGCACCGACGUUCAGGCACGAAAGCGUGGGGAGCAAACAGG
rnacentral:rRNA from 1 species